rnacentral:rRNA from 1 species
AUUGAACGCUGGCGGCAGGCCUAACACAUGCAAGUCGAGCGGAGCGGCGGACGGGUGAGUAAUGCCUAGGAAUCUGCAUGGUAGUGGUGGAUAACGUCCGGAAACGGGAGCUAAUACCGCAUACUAUUAGAUGAGCCUAGGUCGGAUUAGCUAGUGGGUGGGGUAACGGCCUACCAAGGCGACGAUCCGUAACUGGUCUGAGAGGAUGAUCAGUCACACUGGAACGGAGACACGGUCCAGACUCCUACGGGAGGCAGCAGUGGGGAAUAUUGGACAAUGGGCGAAAGCCUGAUCCAGCCAUGCCGCGUGUGUGAAGAAGGUCUUCGGGUUGUAAAGCACUUUAAGCUGGGAGGCGUUACCAGCAGAAUAAGCACCGGCUAACUUCGUGCCAGCCGCCGCGGUAAUAC